rnacentral:rRNA from 1 species
GAUGAACGCUGGCGGCGUGCCUAAUACAUGCAAGUCGAGCGAACAGACGAGGAGCUUGCUCCUCUGACGUUAGCGGCGGACGGGUGAGUAACACGUGGAUAACCUACCUAUAAGACUGGGAUAACUUCGGGAAACCGGAGCGAAUACCGGAUAAUAUAUUGAACCGCAUGGUUCAAUAGUGAAAGACGGUUUUGCUGUCACUUAUAGAUGGAUCCGCGCCGCAUUAGCUAGUUGGUAAGGUAACGGCUUACCAAGGCAACGAUGCGUAGCCGACCUGAGAGGGUGAUCGGCCACACUGGAACUGAGACACGGUCCAGACUCCUACGGGAGGCAGCAGUAGGGAAUCUUCCGCAAUGGGCGAAAGCCUGACGGAGCAACGCCGCGUGAGUGAUGAAGGUCUUCGGAUCGUAAAACUCUGUUAUUAGGGAAGAACAAAUGUGUAAGUAACUAUGCACGUCUUGACGGUACCUAAUCAGAAAGCCACGGCUAACUACGUG